ensembl:lncRNA
GUUUGCAAUAUGUUUUGUAAUACAUGUAAAAAUCAUUCUCAGUGCUGUGUGAUGUGCGUGUACUUGCGCGCGCGCGAGCGUGUGUGUGUGUAUUAGGUCGCCGCGCGCACAGACCGUGAGCUUGUUGUUCAGUCGAACAGCGCGUGGAAUUACAGAUUUUUGAAUAAAACGGAAAACACAGCCGUACCUGACGCGUCCUAAAGACGUUAACGCAAACGUAGAGUAUUUUUUCCUCGUCUUUUGAUGUUUAUCUCAACCAUGGCUGCGUUAAUGAUUAGAUUACAUGCAGCAAUGACUCCGCGAAAGUUUUGACUUUUAUAACAGCAGUUAUUGUUGGCUCUCCCAACGGAUCCUUCAAGACUCGAUCAAGGAAUCAAGACUCGAUUACGGAAUCUCAUGUAAACUUUAUAAAUGAAGAUUAAAGGCACGCGCUUCUUCUCUUUGCCAAGCGUCGCACAUGGGUUCCUCUCAAGAGUUCAUGUACGUUAGAUAUGGCAGAUCAUCUCAAAUCAUCCAUAUCUGCUCCACUGCAUAGCAGAGCACUUGGGAGCUGUUCAAAGGUGACACCGAGGAGCUUCCUGGGCCACUGAGACGUGACUUCGGGCUGGGCGUCUCAUUUCCUGUGCCCCUGCUGGC